rnacentral:tRNA from 1 species
GCCCGCUUAGCUCAAAGGUUAGAGCAUCGCAUUUGUAAUGUGAUGGUCAUCAGUUCGAUUCCGAUAGCCGGCU